rnacentral:rRNA from 2 species
GCGAGAAAACUUUGCAAUGUGCGAAAGCACGACAAGGUUAAUCCGAGUGUUUUCUGCUAAAGAAAUCUUUUGUCAGUCCUAAAACACUGAUGAAUAAGGGGUGGCAAGUUCUGGUGUCAGCCGCCGCGGUAAAACCAGCACCUCAAGUGGUCAGGAGGAUUAUUGGGCCUAAAGCAUCCGUAGCCUGCUUUGUAAGUUUUCGGUUAAAUCCAUAUGCUCAACAUAUGGGCUAGCCGGGAAUACUGCACAGCUAGGGAGUGGGAGAGGUAGACGGUACUCGGUAGGAAGGGGUAAAAAUCCUUUGAUCUAUUGAUGACCACCUGUGGCGAAGGCGGUCUACCAGAACACGUCCGACGGUGAGGGAUGAAAGCGU